rnacentral:rRNA from 1 species
UACGGGGGGGGCAAGCGUUGUUCGGAAUUACUGGGCGUAAAGGGCUCGUAGGCGGCCAACUAAGUCGGACGUGAAAUCCCUCGGCUCAACCGGGGAACUGCGUCCGAUACUGGAUGGCUCGAGUCCGGGAGAGGGAUGCGGAAUUCCAGGUGUAGCGGUGAAAUGCGUAGAUAUCUGGAGGAACACCGAUGGCGAAGGCAGGUCACUGGGCCGCAACUGACGCUGAGGAGCGAAAGCAUGGGGAGCGAACAGG